GUUGUAUUUGAAAUUAAAAGAAAUCAUCAUCAUCAUCAUUGUGAGAUAUUAGAAACAUAAAACGGAUUGCAUGUAUACAAAGACAAUUCAAAGAUAACAAGGAUUAACAAUCAUCGAAAUCAAAUUUUAUUCACAAGCAUUUAAUAAAACAAAGGUAAAACGGUGGAAAAAACCCGAUGCUUCAACCAGAG